rnacentral:rRNA from 1 species
GAACGCGAAGAACCUUACCAUCCCUUGACAUGUCGUGCCAUCCGGAGAGAUCCGGGGUUCCCUUCGGGGACGCGAACACAGGUGCUGCAUGGCUGUCGUCAGCUCGUGUCGUGAGAUGUUGGGUUAAGUCCCGCAACGAGCGCAACCCACGUCCUUAGUUGCCAUCAUUUAGUUGGGCACUCUAGGGAGACUGCCGGUGAUAAGCCGCGAGGAAGGUGUGGAUGACGUCAAGUCCUCAUGGCCCUUACGGGAUGGGCUACACACGUGCUACAAUGGCGGUGACAGUGGGACGCGAAACCGCGAGGUUGAGCAAAUCCCCAAAAACCGUCUCAGUUCAGAUUGCACUCUGCAACUCGAGUGCAUGAAGGCGGAAUCGCUAGUAAUCGUGGAUCAGCAUGCCACGGUGAAUACGUUCCCGGGUCUUGUACACACCGA